UUUGACUUAAGAGGCUGAGAGGCCACCUCAUCAGCAGCAUCGUGAAGCAGGAACUCACACAGACACUGGACAGGCAGCACAUCCAAGGACCCUUCACUAGACUGUACAAGAUCUGCUAACCAGGGCAUGGAUUGAGACGAAGCCUAGAAGAAAAAGGUGCAACACUGUGGAGCUUAUAAAGAUUUGGUACGCUUUGUGGAAAGCAACAUCUCCAGGUCAUCUGGAAACUCACCAAUAUUUUG